rnacentral:rRNA from 1 species
GAUGAACGCUGGCGGCGUGCUUAACACAUGCAAGUCGAACGGUGAAGCUCCAGCUUGCUGGAGUGGAUCAGUGGCGAACGGGUGAGUAACACGUGAGCAACCUGCCCCUGACUCUGGAAUAAGCGCUGGAAACGGCGUCUAAUACUGGAUACGAGAAGGGCCCGCAUGGGCACUUUCUGGAAAGUUUUUCGGUUGGGGAUGGGCUCGCGGCCUAUCAGCUUGUUGGUGAGGUAAUGGCUCACCAAGGCGACGACGGGUAGCCGGCCUGAGAGGGCGACCGGCCACACUGGGACUGAGACACGGCCCAGACUCCUACGGGAGGCAGCAGUGGGGAAUAUUGCACAAUGGGCGAAAGCCUGAUGCAGCGACGCCGCGUGAGGGAUGACGGCCUUCGGGUUGUAAACCUCUUUCAGCAGGGAAGAAGCGAAAGUGACGGUACCUGCAGAAGAAGCACCGGCUAACUACGUG